rnacentral:rRNA from 1 species
GAUGAACGCUAGCGGCAGGCCUAAUACAUGCAAGUCGAGGGAGAAUGUUGGAUUCGUCUGACAUGAAACCGGCGCACGGGUGCGUAACACGUAUGCAACCUACCUUUAACUGGGGUAUAGCUCAGAGAAAUCUGAAUUAAUCCCCCAUAAGACUACGACAUGGCAUCAUGAUGUAGUUAAAGCUCCGGCGGUUAAGGAUGGGCAUGCGGUACAUUAGCUAGUUGGUGAGGUAAUGGCUCACCAAGGCUACGAUGUAUAGGGGGUCUGAGAGGAUGAUCCCCCACACUGGUACUGAGACACGGACCAGACUCCUACGGGAGGCAGCAGUAGGGAAUAUUGGUCAAUGGACGCAAGUCUGAACCAGCCAUGCCGCGUGAAGGAUGAAGGCCCUAUGGGUCGUAAACUUCUUUUAUUAGGGAAGAAAAAACGGGAUGCGUCCUGUACUGACGGUACUUAAUGAAUAAGGAUCGGCUAACUUCGUGCCAGCAGCCGCGGUAAAAC